UCCUAAAUAAUCAGUUAUCAACAUAUUUCCAUUUGGUAACAUGGCACACCAAGUUAGAUCUAUCCCGCAAUAUACUUCGUUCACAUUAAUUCUCCUUUUCAACUUGAGACGCACGUCGUACAUGUGUUUCGUGUCGGGCGCGCAAAUCUGUAUCUGGGCUUGAUCUACCCUUGCUCCUUUAAACGACAAACUAGUGGCAGUCUCC
rnacentral:lncRNA from 1 species